rnacentral:rRNA from 1 species
GGGGGAAAGAUUUAUCGCUUCUAGAUGGGCCCGCGUCCGAUUAGAUAGUUGGUGGGGUAAUGGCCUACCAAGUCUGCGAUCGGUAGCUGGUCUGAGAGGACGAUCAGCCACACUGGGACUGAGACACGGCCCAGACUCCUACGGGAGGCAGCAGUGGGGAAUAUUGGACAAUGGGGGAAACCCUGAUCCAGCAAUGCCGCGUGUGUGAUGAAGGCCCUAGGGUUGUAAAGC